rnacentral:rRNA from 1 species
CAAUAGCGUAUAUUAAAGUUGUUGCAGUUAAAAAGCUCGUAGUUGAACUUCAGAUUUGACCGAAUGGUCUGCCUAACGGUAUGUACUGUCUGGCUGAGUCUUACUUCUUGGUGAGCCAGUAUGCCCUUCAUUGGGUGUGCUGGGGAACCAGGACUUUUACCUUGAGAAAAUUAGAGUGUUCAAAGCAGGCCUAUGCCCGAAUACAUUAGCAUGGAAUAAUAAAAUAGGACGUGUGGUUCUAUUUUGUUGGUUUCUAGAAUCGCCGUAAUGAUUAAUAGGGAUAGUUGGGGGCAUUAGUAUUCAGUUGCUAGAGGUGAAAUUCUUGGAUUUACUGAAGACUAACUACUGCGAAAGCAUUUGCCAAGGAUGUUUUCAUUAA